rnacentral:lncRNA from 1 species
AAACAAGCAUGGAAUCAAGUCAUGCAGGAUCUUGCGGGCCCUGAUAAAGGGGUUGGGUUUGACUCAAAGAAGAGUUGAAAGUCACUGGAAGAUUUUGACAGACAAGUGAUAUGUUUUGGAAGCUUUUUGGAGAAUGAAUUUUGGUGGUCAGAGUGGAAGCCUGUUGGGCAGCUAUUACAGUUGUCCAGAGAGAGGACAAGGUGGUGAUUAGACCAUGGAGCAUUUCAAACUGAAGACUGCAUGAAAUCUGCUGGGCUGUGAUCCAAUUAAUGGCAAAGCAAUUCAACAUAAUUGACCCCCAAAUAGUUGACUCAGUGACACAUGGAUAGAGCUUUGACAGCUUAGCAGUGAGAUCAGGAAAGGAAAUUAAUAUGUGAUUUAAGUAAAUUCAGGAAUCUGGUAGUUUAAUGGACUUAGACACUUUCAUCCUUUGUUAUUAAAUUGAAUCUGGCCCAGUUAGGAGUUAUUGGAAAAUUGAUUGUAAUAAACUGGCGUCUGUGAUAUGCUUCUUCCUGGAUCACCUGGGGGAAAUGAUUCAACAACAGCACAGGCACACACUCACACACUUAACUUACACAGACCCACCUUGUGUUUCUUCCUAGCAGGGUGGGUGUAAAGUGUGAUAAAUGGUG